CUGGAGCUGGCCGGGAACGCCGCUCGCGACAACAGGAAGAGUCGCAUCACGCCCCGGCACCUGCUGCUGGCCAUCGCCAACGACGAGGAGCUGCACAAGUUCUUGCGCGGGGUGACCAUUCCCCAGGGCGGCGUACUACCCCGUAUUCACCCGUCGCUGCUUGUGAAGCGGGGCGACACGGCCUCCAUGCCGGCGGUAACGGCGUCCACG